UUAAGCGACUAAGCGUACACGGUGGAUGCCCUGGCAGUCAGAGGCGAUGAAGGACGUGCUAAUCUGCGAAAAGCGCCGGCGAGGUGAUAUGAACCUUUGACCCGGCGAUGUCCGAAUGGGGAAACCCAGUGCAAUUCGUUGCACUAUCGUUAACUGAAUACAUAGGUUAACGAGGCGAACCGGGGGAACUGAAACAUCUAAGUACCCCGAGGAAAAGAAAUCAACCGAGAUUCCCCCAGUAGCGGCGAGCGAACGGGGAGGAGCCCAGAGUCUGAAUCAGUUUGUGUGUUAGUGGAAGCGUCUGGAAAGUCGCACGAUACAGGGUGAAAGUCCCGUACACGAAAGCACACAGGCUGUGAACUCGAAGAGUAGGGCGGGACACGUGGUAUCCUGUCUGAAUAUGGGGGGGACCAUCCUCCAAGGCUAAAUACUCCUGACUGACCGAUAGUGAACCAGUACCGUGAGGGAAAGGCGAAAAGAACCCCGGCGAGGGGAGUGAAAAAGAACCUGAAACCGUGUACGUACAAGCAGUGGGAGCAUCCUUCGGGGUGUGACUGCGUACCUUUUGUAUAAUGGGUCAGCGACUUAUAUUCUGUAGCAAGGUUAACCGAAUAGGGGAGCCGAAGGGAAACCGAGUCUUAACUGGGCGUUAAGUUGCAGGGUAUAGACCCGAAACCCGGUGAUCUAGCCAUGGGCAGGUUGAAGGUUGGGUAACACUAACUGGAGGACCGAACCGACUAAUGUUGAAAAAUUAGCGGAUGACCUGUGGCUGGGGGUGAAAGGCCAAUCAAACCGGGAGAUAGCUGGUUCUCCCCGAAAGCUAUUUAGGUAGCGCCUCGUGAACUCAUCUUCGGGGGUAGAGCACUGUUUCGGCUAGGGGGGUCAUCCCGACUUACCAACCCGAUGCAAACUGCGAAUACCGAAGAAUGUUAUCACGGGAGACACACGGCGGGUGCUAACGUCCGUCGUGAAGAGGGAAACAACCCAGACCGCCAGCUAAGGUCCCAAAGUCAUGGUUAAGUGGGAAACGAUGUGGGAAGGCCCAGACAGCCAGGAUGUUGGCUUAGAAGCAGCCAUCAUUUAAAGAAAGCGUAAUAGCUCACUGGUCGAGUCGGCCUGCGCGGAAGAUGUAACGGGGCUAAACCAUGCACCGAAGCUGCGGCAGCGACACUGUGUGUUGUUGGGUAGGGGAGCGUUCUGUAAGCCGUUGAAGGUGUGCUGUGAGGCAUGCUGGAGGUAUCAGAAGUGCGAAUGCUGACAUAAGUAACGAUAAAGCGGGUGAAAAGCCCGCUCGCCGGAAGACCAAGGGUUCCUGUCCAACGUUAAUCGGGGCAGGGUGAGUCGACCCCUAAGGCGAGGCCGAAAGGCGUAGUCGAUGGGAAACAGGUUAAUAUUCCUGUACUUGGUGUUACUGCGAAGGGGGGACGGAGAAGGCUAUGUUAGCCGGGCGACGGUUGUCCCGGUUUAAGCAUGUAGGCGGAGGUUCCAGGUAAAUCCGGUACCUUUUAACGCUGAGGUGUGAUGACGAGGCACUACGGUGCUGAAGUAACAAAUGCCCUGCUUCCAGGAAAAGCCUCUAAGCAUCAGGUAACACGAAAUCGUACCCCAAACCGACACAGGUGGUCAGGUAGAGAAUACCAAGGCGCUUGAGAGAACUCGGGUGAAGGAACUAGGCAAAAUGGUGCCGUAACUUCGGGAGAAGGCACGCUGACAUGUAGGUGAAGCCCCUGCGGGUGGAGCUGAAGUCAGUCGAAGAUACCAGCUGGCUGCAACUGUUUAUUAAAAACACAGCACUGUGCAAACACGAAAGUGGACGUAUACGGUGUGACGCCUGCCCGGUGCCGGAAGGUUAAUUGAUGGGGUUAUCCUUAGGGAGAAGCUCUUGAUCGAAGCCCCGGUAAACGGCGGCCGUAACUAUAACGGUCCUAAGGUAGCGAAAUUCCUUGUCGGGUAAGUUCCGACCUGCACGAAUGGCGUAAUGAUGGCCAGGCUGUCUCCACCCGAGACUCAGUGAAAUUGAACUCGCUGUGAAGAUGCAGUGUACCCGCGGCAAGACGGAAAGACCCCGUGAACCUUUACUAUAGCUUGACACUGAACAUUGAGCCUUGAUGUGUAGGAUAGGUGGGAGGCUUUGAAGCGUGGACGCCAGUCUGCGUGGAGCCAACCUUGAAAUACCACCCUUUAAUGUUUGAUGUUCUAACCUGGCGCCGUAAUCCGGCGUGGGGACAGUGUCUGGUGGGUAGUUUGACUGGGGCGGUCUCCUCCUAAAGAGUAACGGAGGAGCACGAAGGUUGGCUAAUCCUGGUCGGACAUCAGGAGGUUAGUGCAAUGGCAUAAGCCAGCUUGACUGCGAGCGUGACGGCGCGAGCAGGUGCGAAAGCAGGUCAUAGUGAUCCGGUGGUUCUGAAUGGAAGGGCCAUCGCUCAACGGAUAAAAGGUACUCCGGGGAUAACAGGCUGAUACCGCCCAAGAGUUCAUAUCGACGGCGGUGUUUGGCACCUCGAUGUCGGCUCAUCACAUCCUGGGGCUGAAGUAGGUCCCAAGGGUAUGGCUGUUCGCCAUUUAAAGUGGUACGCGAGCUGGGUUUAGAACGUCGUGAGACAGUUCGGUCCCUAUCUGCCGUGGGCGCUGGAGAAUUGAGGGGGGCUGCUCCUAGUACGAGAGGACCGGAGUGGACGCAUCACUGGUGUUCGGGUUGUCAUGCCAAUGGCAUUGCCCGGUAGCUACAUGCGGAAGAGAUAAGUGCUGAAAGCAUCUAAGCACGAAACUUGCCCCGAGAUGAGUUCUCCCUGAGACCCAGAGUCUCCUGAAGGAACGUUAAAGACUAUGACGUUGAUAGGCCGGGUGUGUAAGCGCAGCGAUGCGUUGAGCUAACCGGUACUAAUGAACCGUGAGGCUUAACCUU
rnacentral:rRNA from 1 species